rnacentral:rRNA from 1 species
GCUUGUCUCAAAGAUUAAGCCAUGCAUGUCUAAGUGUAAAUACGUCUACACUGUGAAACUGCGAAUGGCUCAUUAAAUCAGUUAUCGUUUAUUUGAUGAUCUCUUGUUACAUGGAUAACCGUAGUAAUUCUAGAGCUAAUACAUGCGUAAAGCGGAAACUCACGAAUCCGCGUAUUUAUUAGAUACAAUCAGCCCUUCGGGUUUUUGAUGAAUCAUAAUAACUGAGCGAACCGCAUGCGCAAGCGGCGGUGGUUCAUUCAAGUUUCUGCCCUAUCAGCUUUCGAUGGUAGGGUAUUGGCCUACCAUGGCGUUAACGGGUAACGGAGAAUUAGGGUUCGAUUCCGGAGAGGGAGCCUGAGAAAUGGCUACCACAUCCAAGGAAGGCAGCAGG